UGAGCCGGCUGGUGCGCCGGUACCAGGCGCUGCCGAUCCGGGCACGGCUGGCGAUGCUGGUCGCGGCGGCGGUGGCGUUCGCCGUCGCCGCGGUCUCGG
rnacentral:tRNA from 1 species